GGGGAUUUAGCUCAGUGGUAGAGCGCUUGCCUAGCAAGCGCAAGUGCCUGGGUUCAGUCCCCA
rnacentral:tRNA from 1 species